AGCAGUAGCCGCGGUAAUACCGAGGGUGCGAGCGUUAAUCGGAUUUACUGGGCGUAAAGCGUGCGUAGGCGGCUUCUUAAGUCGGAUGUGAAAUCCCUGAGCUUAACUUAGGAAUUGCAUUCGAUACUGGGAGGCUAGAGUAUGGGAGAGGAUGGUAGAAUUCCAGGUGUAGCGGUGAAAUGCGUAGAGAUCUGGAGGAAUACCGAUGGCGAAGGCAGCCAUCUGGCCUAAUACUGACGCUGAGGUACGAAAGCAUGGGGAGCAAACAGGAUUAGAUACCCCUGUAGUCCCUGUCUCUUAUAC
rnacentral:rRNA from 1 species